rnacentral:misc_RNA from 1 species
UUUCCGUAGGUGAACCUGCGGAAGGAUCAUUAUUGAAUAAACCUGAUGUGGCUUUUAGCUGGCUUUUCGAAGCAUGUUCUCGUCCGUCAUCUUUAUCUCUCCACCUGUGCACAUUGUGUAGUCUUGGAUACCUCUCGAGGCAACUCGGAUUUUAGGGUCGUUGUGCUGUACAAGUCGGCUUUCCUUUCAUUUCCAAGACUAUGUUUUUAUAUACAACAAAGUAUGUUUAAAGAAUGUCAUCAAUAGGAACUUGUUUCAUAUAUAAUUAUACAACUUUCAGCAACGGAUCUCUUGGCUCUC